CACAACAGGCAAAGAAGGCAGCAGAUACUCCAGGCUGCUGACAGCUCCUCACUAAUGAAGGACAAGGGGACCGGAGUAGUAGUAAUAUGUUCCAUCAAAUGCCAGUAUCUGGAAACUUGUGGCAUAAUUCUUGCACAAAUCACAGGGAAGAAAACUGGAAAGAGAGGGUAACAGAUGUAACAUUCUGUUAACAUUUAUCCUCUAUUCUUUAGAUGACUUAGUCAGAAAAAAGACUGUUUGCUGUCAAAGAAAGCUCUCAACUGUGACAGCUAUGAUUUCUCAGACUCCAGAAGAUUCACCUUCCAAGCUGUCUACCGUAUUUCAAGUCUGACACCUCCUGUGGGACACAGUGUCCCACAACCCAUUUUUCUCAUUAUAACCACUCUGAAGCCAACUUUAUGUGAGGAACCAGAUACAUUCUGUACGAAUAGCAAGAAACUGUUAAUCUCACUUCCACAAAAAAUGUUAAGUCCAAACACCAAAGAAAAAGAAAUACAUGUAUGAAUACAUUUCUGCUACCAUCUUGCCAAUCUCAUCAACACUCGCACUUCUAAGAAUGGAGGCAAGAAAUCUGUCGAAAACUGAAGACAGACAGAUACUGUUAGCAGAACAUAUCUUUUAGGAAAUUUGAGUUGGCUGGUAAAGGGAAAACGUGAAUCAUCUCAGUCAUCAGCCCCCUGUUAAAACUGAGACAAGACUCUUAAAUGGGGCUCAUUAAAGUACAAAUAACAAUUUUCAUGGGAGUUAUAUUUUAUCGUGAUGUACAACAGUUAACUGAUACACUGAAACCUGUAAGAAAUAUGUCAAAUACAGCACUAAUGUUGUUUUUUUUUUUUUUUCCUUAAAUCUUGUAAUGUGCAAAACAUUUAUUCCUUCAAGUACACUGUAUUUAUGGGCUUUACUGUUACCAAGAUAUUUGCUAUUAACCAGUUGAAAUUCCAACUCUGCUUGCUUCAAUCUGAUAGAAACAUACUUGUAAAUAGUCAUUCUUGAUUCAAAGGAAAUGCAGAUGAGAGAUUUUGAAAGGAGGGUUUGGCCAAUAGGCCUAAAAGGAUGAGUUUUACUAUUUCUUUUUUUUUUUUAAAUAGAACUAGCAGUUAGGGAUAAUAUUUUUCAAAGUUUGCUGGUGGAUAUAUCUCAGGCUCUGUUUUGUCAGCUUGUAUUAAAUAUACCCUUUCUCUUUUGAAUAUCCUUUAUAUGAAAAAGGUCUAAUAUUUUAGUCUGGUCUGCGUCACUUUUAAGAGAGAGAGGGGUUUGCUAUAUAUAACUAUCCAGCAUUUCUCUUUCCCCUGUAAUUAAUACAGUUAGAGACCCUUAACUUAUUCUGUAACGUACUGACAUGGGCUAACACAUAAGCCUCUACAGUUCAGAGUAGCCAAUUAUACCUGCUGACUGUCAGCUGGUAGCCAUGGUAUCUGCCAGCUUUGCUGGUUGUUCUCAC
ensembl:lncRNA